GACAGAGGUGCCGAGCGUUAGGCGGAAUCACUGGGCUUAAAGCGCGUGUAGGCGGGACGGCACGUCGGUCGCUGAAAUCCCCCGGCUCAACCGGGGAACGGGCGCCGAUACGACCGCCCUGGAGGGGCGUAGGGGGACCUGGAACUUCCGGUGGAGCGGUGAAAUGCGUUGAGAUCGGAAGGAACGCCCGUGGCGAAAGCGAGGUCCUGGACGCUUACUGACGCUGAGACGCGAAAGCCAGGGGAGCGAACGGG
rnacentral:rRNA from 1 species